UACGUAGGGCCCAAGCGUUGUUCGGAUUCAUUGGGCGUAAAGGGCGCGUAGGUGGCGCUGUAAGUCGGGUGUGAAAUUUCGGAGCUUAACUCCGAAACUGCAUUCGAUACUGCGGUGCUUGAGGACUGGAGAGGAGACUGGAAUUCAUGGUGUAGCAGUGAAAUGCGUAGAGAUCAUGAGGAAGACCAGUGGCGAAGGCGGGUCUCUGGACAGUUCCUGACACUGAGGGACGAAGGCCAGGGGAGCAAACGGG
rnacentral:rRNA from 1 species